AAGACUCUAAUUUCCCAAGAUCGGAUUUUUAUCUACGUAUCCAACCAGGGCAAUCUGACGCCGACGUCAAACAGUACCAGCAAGGCAGCUCAAGGCCGCCGCCGCCGGCGUUGGCCGCCCCGGUGCGGUAGGAAACAUGAACGUGCUUGGGGACAUUGGCAACGUCAUCCACGCCACAGCUAGGUCCUUGACUGCAAGAUCCAGCUACCGGCCCGGCAGGGAUCAAUCGUCCAAUCAUCAGGAGGUUCAGCGGUCAACUCUUGAAGAAGGCCCAGGACGAUCCAUCCAAGGACAGCGUAUAACUGAUUCUAAAUUCCUCCAGCAGCGCGGGCAGCCCUGAAGCCCCCUCGCUGUUACUCGCAGAUCGAUUGGCACCGGCCGCACUCUAAUACUGAGGAUGGUGAAGAAUGCAGUUUUUCCUUUUCUUUUUGUACACAAAUGAGGCAAUGCAGUUGGCAUCGACAGCUGCUACUCGCUGGCCUCUCCUUGAGCGCAAGUUUCCAUCGUCGUCCGCCGCUUCGAUGCUCGGCUGCUGCCCCACGGACGCAUUCGCCACACCCCUACAGCCGACGCUCCUGCCCUCCACUCUGUGGCUAUCCUCACAUGUAACGGCUUCUCUCACGUAGUGUUCAGAGGUGCAUGUAUUGAGAGCGCCGAUGAUUUAGGGCAAAAAAACCACACAAAGUAACAAACUUUGUACAAAUUGUACUUGAAGCCAGCGAUAUCCCGUUGAUGGACGCUAACAACAAUUCGAACCUGUUAAUCGGGGAAAGGAUGCUACUAACGCGACACUACGAUCAGAGACCCUUCAAGAAACUGUGUGCGAUGCCAUAAUCGCAAACGGUGUUGUAUGAAAACCGUCAGAAAUGUGUAAAACGUUUGCG